CCUACGGGGUGCUGCAGUGGGGAAUAUUGCACAAUGGGCGCAAGCCUGAUGCAGCCAUGCCGCGUGUGUGAAGAAGGCCUUCGGGUUGUAAAGCACUUUCAGCGGGGAGGAAGGCGUUAAGGUUAAUAACCUUGUCGAUUGACGUUACCCGCAGAAGAAGCACCGGCUAACUCCGUGCCAGCAGCCGCGGUAAUACGGAGGGUACAAGCGUUAAUCGGAAUUACUGGGCGUAAAGCGCACGCAGGCGGUCUGUCAAGUCGGAUGUGAAAUCCCCGGGCUCAACCUGGGAACUGCAUUCGAAACUGGCAGGCUAGAGUCUUGUAGAGGGGGGUAGAGUUCCAGGUGUAGCGGUGAAAUGCGUAGAGAUCUGGAGGAAUACCGGUGGCGAAGGCGGCCCCCUGGACAAAGACUGACGCUCAGGUGCGAAAGCGUGGGGAGCAAACAGGAUUAGAUACCCCUGUAGUC
rnacentral:rRNA from 1 species